UACGGAGGGUGCAAGCGUUAUCCGGAUUCACUGGGUUUAAAGGGUGCGUAGGUGGGUCUGUAAGUCAGUGGUGAAAUCUCCGAGCUUAACUUGGAAACUGCCAUUGAUACUAUAGAUCUUGAAUAUUGUGGAGGUCAGCGGAAUAUGUCAUGUAGCGGUGAAAUGCUUAGAUAUGACACAGAACACCGAUUGCGAAGGCAGCUGACGAAACUGUAACUGACGCUGAGGCUCGAAAGCGUGGGGAUCAAACAGG
rnacentral:rRNA from 1 species